GCCAGUGUGGUGUAGUGGUUUUAGCAUUGCACUACAAUCCUGCACACCAGGGUUCAACUCCUUGCUCAGCCA